UACGUAGGGGGCAAGCGUUAUCCGGAAUUACUGGGUGUAAAGGGAGCGUAGACGGCAAUGCAAGUCCGGAGUGGAAUGCGGCAGCUCAACUGCCGAACUGCUCUGGGAACUGUAUGGCUUGAGUGCAGGAGGGGUAAGCGGAAUUCCUGGUGUAGCGGUGAAAUGCGUAGAUAUCAGGAGGAACACCGGUGGCGAAGGCGGCUUACUGGACUGUAACUGACGUUGAGGCUCGAAAGCGUGGGGAGCAAACAGG
rnacentral:rRNA from 1 species